rnacentral:rRNA from 1 species
GACGUGCCGGUAAAAAGACCGGAGGAAGGUGAGGAUGAUGUCAAGUCAGCAUGACCUUUGUAUCCAGGGCUACACACACGCUACGAAUGGUCUGUACAAUGGGUAGCCAAGCCGCGAGGCGGAGCCAAUCCUGAAAGCAGGCCUCAGUUCAGAUUGCAGUCUGCAACUCGACUGCAUGAAGCCGGAGUUGCUAGUAACCGCAGGUCAGCAAUACUGCGGUGAAUACGUUCCCGGGUCUU